rnacentral:rRNA from 1 species
GAUUAGUGGCGACGGGUGAGUAACACGUGGGCAAUCUGCCCUGCACUCUGGGACAAGCCCUGGAAACGGGGUCUAAUACCGGAUACAACCACUGACCGCAUGGUCGGGUGGUGGAAAGCUCCGGCGGUGCAGGAUGAGCCCGCGGCCUAUCAGCUUGUUGGUGAGGUAACGGCUCACCAAGGCGACGACGGGUAGCCGGCCUGAGAGGGCGACCGGCCACACUGGGACUGAGACACGGCCCAGACUCCUACGGGAGGCAGCAGUGGGGAAUAUUGCACAAUGGGCGAAAGCCUGAUGCAGCGACGCCGCGUGAGGGAUGACGGCCUUCGGGUUGUAAACCUCUUUCAGCAGGGAAGAAGCGCAAGUGACGGUACCUGCAGAAGAAGCGCCGGCUAACUACGUGCCAGCAGCCGCGGUAAUACGUAGGGCGCGAGCGUUGUCCGGAAUUAUUGGGCGUAAAGAGCUCGUAGGCGGCUUGUCGCGUCGGUUGUGAAAGCCCGGGGCUUAACCCCGGGUCUGCAGUCGAUACGGGCAGGCUAGAGUUCGGUAGGGGAGAUCGGAAUUCCUGGUGUAGCGGUGAAAUGCGCAGAUAUCAGGAGGAACACCGGUGGCGAAGGCGGAUCUCUGGGCCGAUACUGACGCUGAGGAGCGAAAGCGUGGGGAGCGAACAGGAUUAGAUACCCUGGUAGUCCACGCCGUAAACGGUGGGCACUAGGUGUGGGCGACAUUCCACGUCGUCCGUGCCGCAGCUAACGCAUUAAGUGCCCCGCCUGGGGAGUACGGCCGCAAGGCUAAAACUCAAAGGAAUUGACGGG